rnacentral:misc_RNA from 1 species
UCAAACUUGGUCAUUUAGAGGAAGUAAAAGUCGUAACAAGGUUUCCGUAGGUGAACCUGCGGAAGGAUCAUUAGCAAAAGUGUGAGGGAUUGCAGGGUGGUUAAUCUGCCUAUGGCGAUCCCUUCAUAUUCACCCCGAAAGAUCAGUCGAUCUUUGGGUCACAUAAACGAAUGAAUGUCUUGUCAUGUGCAGCAGCAAUAUAGAUGACUUUUAACAAUGGAUCUCUUGGCUCUUGCAUCGAUGAAGAACGCAGC